rnacentral:rRNA from 1 species
UACGUAGGAGGCGAGCGUUGUCCGGAAUUACUGGGCGUAAAGCGCGUGUAGGCGGUCUGAAUAGUCUGCUGUGAAAGCGCCUGGCUUAACCGGGCGAGGUCGGCGGAAACUCUCAGACUGGAGGCCGGUAGAGGGGGGUGGAAUUCCCGGUGUAGUGGUGAAAUGCGUAGAGAUCGGGAGGAACACCUGUGGCGAAGGCGGCCCCCUGGGCCGCGCCUGACGCUGAGACGCGAAGGCUAGGGGAGCGA